AACUUGAGGUGAUUUCUCCGAUAAAAUUGGAACGAUACAGAGAAGAUCAGCAUGGUCGGUGUGCAAGGAUGACACACAUACAAAUCGAGAAGUGUACUGAGUGU
rnacentral:snRNA from 1 species